rnacentral:rRNA from 1 species
UACGUAGGUGGCAAGCGUUGUUCGGAAUUAUUGGGCGUAAAGGGCGCGUAGGCGGCCUGCUAAGUCGAACGUGAAAUCCCCGAGCUCAACUCGGGAACUGCGUCCGAUACUGGUUGGCUUGAAUCCGGGAGAGGGAUGCGGAAUUCCAGGUGUAGCGGUGAAAUGCGUAGAUAUCUGGAGGAACACCGGUGGCGAAGGCGGCAUCCUGGACCGGCAUUGACGCUGAGGCGCGAAAGCCAGGGGAGCAAACGGG